rnacentral:rRNA from 1 species
GUGGGGAAUUUUGCGCAAUGGGCGAAAGCCUGACGCAGCGACGCCGCGUGGAGGAUGAAGGUCUUCGGAUUGUAAACUCCUUUUGUAGGGGAAGAUAAUGACGGUACCCUAUGAAUAAGCCACGGCUAACUCUGUGCCAGCAGCCGCGGUAAGACAGAGGUGGCAAGCGUUGUUCGGAAUUACUGGGCUUAAAGGGCGCGUAGGUGGUGGCAUAAGUCCGGGGUGGAAGGCUAAGGCUUAACCUUAGAAUUGCCCUGGAAACUGUAUCACUUGAGUCAGCGAGGGGAUGGCGGAAUUCCUGGUGUAGCGGUGAAAUGCGUAGAUAUCAGGAGGAAGGCCGGUGGCGAAGGCGGCCAUCUGGCGCUGAACUGACACUGAGGCGCGAAAGCGUGGGGAGCAAACAGGAUUAGAAACCCUUGUAGUCC